rnacentral:rRNA from 1 species
AACGAACGCUGGCGGCAUGCCUAACACAUGCAAGUCGAACGAGACCUUCGGGUCUAGUGGCGCACGGGUGCGUAACGCGUGGGAAUCUGCCCUUGGGUUCGGAAUAACAGUUGGAAACGACUGCUAAUACCGGAUGAUGACGUAAGUCCAAAGAUUUAUCGCCCAAGGAUGAGCCCGCGUAGGAUUAGCUAGUUGGUGAGGUAAAGGCUCACCAAGGCGACGAUCCUUAGCUGGUCUGAGAGGAUGAUCAGCCACACUGGGACUGAGACACGGCCCAGACUCCUACGGGAGGGAGCAGUGGGGAAUAUUGGACAAUGGGCGAAAGCCUGAUCCAGCAAUGCCGCGUGAGUGAGGAAGGCCUUAGGGUUGUAAAGCUCUUUUACCCGGGAUGAUAAUGACAGUACCGGGAGAAUAAGCUCCGGCUAACUCCGUG